rnacentral:rRNA from 1 species
AUGAACGCUAGCGGCAGGCCUAACACAUGCAAGUCGAGGGAGGAGCCUUCGGGCUUCGACCGGCGUACGGGUGCGUAACGCGUAUACAAUCUGCCUUUCACAUAGGGAUAGCCCGAAGAAAUUUGGAUUAAUACCUAAUGGUAUAUAGAUGUGGCAUCACCUUUAUAUUAAAGCUGAGGCGGUGAAAGAUGAGUAUGCGUUCUAUUAGCUAGUUGGAGAGGCAACGGCUCCCCAAGGCGACGAUAGAUAGGGGUUCUGAGAGGGAUAUCCCCCACACUGGUACUGAGAUACGGACCAGACUCCUACGGGAGGCAGCAGUGAGGAAUAUUGGACAAUGGUCGGAAGACUGAUCCAGCCAUGCCGCGUGCAGGAAGACGGCCUUAUGGGUUGUAAACUGCUUUUGCAGGGGAAGAAUAAGGACUACGCGUAGUUUGAUGACGGUACUCUGCGAAUAAGCAUCGGCUAACUCCGUG